AUUAAAAUGCCCUUAAAUCCGAGCUUUAAGCGAUUAUCCCACUACUCACACUUUAAGGCAUUCAAUCGACCUCUUUAAAUUCCAAACUAACCAACUAAAGCUGCAAUUACAAAUAUCACAUCUUCCACCGAUGAGCAGCACAACUUCAACAAGAUCGAGAAGGAAAGUUUGUUUGAAAUACCAUUGCGACAAUGGCUAAUUCCCUCACCCUCCUUGCAGAUCUGAAAUCCGGGCGCUGCUCUUGCUGGGUUUUUGAGAUGGGAACUUUAGGAAAGGCACUUUCGAGGCGAGGAACGUUACGAGAGAUCAGGGUGUGCCAAAGGAGUUGGAACUGCAUUGAAGGGUUCGAUAUGAACCGUUUUAUGCUUCGCCUCCACAAUUGUCAUCUCAAGUACUAUGUUCAGACUUUCCUAAACACAUUGAUAAGCAGGUGCUUAUCCGUAACAAGAAAAGGGGAGAGAUAUAGAAGAAAGGGAGAGAAGAUAAGAUUUAACUUUAGUGAUCAAUUAUGAUAAGAUCAAAUGUCUACAACUCAAGGUAUUAAAUAGAUAAUGUAAGACAUCAUACGACAACGUUUAUUUAAAUAUGAGACUUGGCUCUAAACCUCUCACACAAUCAGAGUCUUUUCCUCCUGUCCUUCUUCCUUCAGCCACUCUUCUUAGUCCUCUUCGACCUGGACCUUCUCUGUGCCAUAGCUAGAGGAACUGCUAGCUUAUCACACAUAUAUGUUGUUCUGUACAUAAAGCUUAUUAUCUUUAGUCCUAAGUUUCUUUCUCUUGAUUCAAAUAUAUACUGAGUUCUUCAUUUAUAUGGGCGUUGUUUGCAGAUGGUUAAUUCACAUAUGCCGUCUUACAUCGUUGCGAUUCCGAUCUGCGCUGCUGUACAGUUAGCUUGAAAAAUUAUGUGUAGUGAACUCAGGAAGAUUACUCUUGAAAAAUAUUGUGGUUAUAGUUUCUUCUUCUUAUUUUGCAAAAUUGGAUAGCUGUUUGUUUACGUUUAAUCACUAUUAGAUCUACCUUUGAGUUUAACUUUUUAUUAGAAAAGAUUUUGUCAAAUGCAGCUGGGGAUUGCAAUUUAUGUAUUGAAUAUUACAAAAGCAUAUGAUGAUUUUGAAGGAUCAUUCUUGCAGGAAGCCAUCAAUAUUGCUGCUAAACUUUGGGUUCUUAAAUGCCUUAUUUAUGACUUAUGAGAUAAGUGACUCAUUUUAUGUCUGAUUCUUUUUUUGACUUGGUUGCGUCACGUAUAAGGUUAUGAGCCCAUCAUCGCCUACUGAAAAGCUUCUUCUGGUACAAUCUCUGAGGAGAAGUGGCCAUGUUGUUGCAGCCACCGAAGAGGGGACAAAUGAUGGUCCUGCGUUGCAUGAGGCCAUCAAACGUAUAGUUCUUUGUGAGUAAAGUGAAAAAGAUUCUUAUGCUUGGAGGAGCUUUCUUUGAAUUACGGAAAGUCAAUCUCACAGAUGAAGCAAAUGUCCAACACCGCAAAACCUCUUCUUGAAUCUUUACAAAUGAUUAAGAAAUGCAGGUUUCAUGUUUUGUGGGUUUUUUCUUAUUGUGACCUGGAAGUAGCUGACGUAAGAAUCUGCUAUCACCACCCAACUUAAACUAACAGGUGAGUUGAACUUCAUUAUUCUUUAUCUUCUUUAAACAUUUUCGAUGUCACAUUGUAAAUUUGUAAUCCGCUGAAAGCAAGUCUCUUUAACUGUUCAGACUUAGACAGCUUACCGUUGCGUGACUCCAAGGAAAACAAGCGAGAUUGUUGAGUGACAUGAAAAUUCUACUGAGACUGGCAUGUUAAUUCUGACGUUUAUGGUAAAGCAAGAAAUAAUUUUGUGGCAUAUGAGAUUUUGACGUGGCAUAUAUAGCAGUCCGGUAUUUAUAAGGAGGAUGCACAUGGUUUGCGCCUAUCUUCCUAACAUUUGUCAUGAUUUUUCUUAAAUUGUGAAAUAAUCUAAUAUCAGUUACACUUUCUCUAUAGAAAAUACAAUUAUUCGUUUAUCUUACUGCAAUUUUUUAGGUGAAUUUAUUAGAGAAUAGUAUCACACAAUCCUUUUUCUUUGUCAUACUCAUAUGUCGUUUUUGUUAACACUACAAUUUUGUUGAUAAUAGAAUUACUGUUGUUAAUGAUGCUGGUAUUUUUCUUAAAGAAAGGUCUAUAUCUCAUCUGGUUUUGUUCCAUAUAAACUUGAAAUUAAGUAAACUUCUUAUGCUGUACUUAUUUAUGAAGAAGAGUCAGGUCUUUGUGUUUAGUAAAUUGCAUAGGGUGUGGUUUGUAUGAUAUAUCAAGUUCUAGAGGUGAAUUGCGUACAAAAAUGUUUUUUUGGUUUGGGUCUAAUUUGUAAUGUUGUUUCUGAUCAUAAACCGGUUUGAGAAAAUAGUAUUUGUCGGUUUGUCAUAUUCGUAUGGUAAAUAACUAAAUAUAUUCUUACGGUUCUCUCGGUUUGCAAAUAAAAAUAAUUGUAGUUUUUUUAAGUGUACUUCUGUGUUCAUCUAACAAUUCAGGAUCCAAAACAACUAACAUCAAUUGACUGUUUUAGAAACUUAUUUAUACUUUAGAAAAAUCACAUACACGUCACUAAUUUCAACAUUUUUAUUUUCAUAUAAUGGGGACUAUACGACACCAUCUAAAUUGAGAACUUUAGAAAUAAAAUCACAAUGAUGUUAAAAAGUGUCUAAAAACGGUUAAACUAUGUACUCAUUUAUUUAGUGUUCUCUUUUAUUUGUCAAAAAGAUAGUUUUUAGAAUAAAAAAUAAAUUCUUUCAAAUAGAGAAAGAUCAACUAAUAAAAUAUAUCUUAAAACACUUCGAGUUCUAAAUCAUAAAUAUAAAAAACAUUAAUAAAAAGUAAUCUCUCAUAUAUAUAUAAAUGUUUCUUUUGAAAUUCAUAAGAUAUAAUAAAAGAUGUAACACUAUCAAUUAAAAAAUACAGUAAAAACACUACCAAUAACAUAUGUCAAUAAAUAUUAUAAUUUUGACAAUUUGUUUUCCACUUAAAUCCGUAGUACACAAAUUAUGAUUUUUGUUUUUCCCUUAAAAGAGAAAAGAAAUAUCAUACUUUUUGUACUACUGAGUUAAAUUGAAAACAAUUUGUUGAAAAUAAGUAGCAUUCAUCCUUUCAUAUAUAUAUAUUAACAUAUUGAAUCACCAAGCAGGCUUAUUAUAACUUGGCUAAGUUAUGAUAUUUCAAAUUUAGCAGUGUGGUAUGCUUCUCUCUGGACAGCAAUUCAAUGCAGACGCUGCCAACACAACGCAAAUUUCCAAAAUUAGAAAAAAAGCAAUUUCUCCUGCAUUCUUAAGGAAAAAGAUGAAUAUUUUAAUUUAUAUGCAUACAAUAUUUACAUCUUAUGUUUAAACCGGUUUCCCUCAAACUUUGAUCCUCCACCCGCAAUUAAAUACCAUUCUACACAAUAUAUUACAGACUUCAAGAGCUUAUUGUAAACCACCAGAGCAUGGUAUGUGAGGGCAACAUGAAUGCCCAUUAGGCUCAGAAUGAUGUAUUUUUAAUCCCAAUCAACAGAAUACGAUUAAUUUCUACAAGAAACAAUAAAGUUAUUUACAAAAGAUAAUUAGUAAAACACUCAAAAUUAAAGAAAAUUUCACUAUAAAUUCAAAAUUGAAUAUAAACUGAAUAAAACAUAUAUUAUAAAACAUCAAUUGGUGUUACAUAAUAUAUUAUAAGUAUUAUUUAUGAAAUUAUUAAAACUAUUAAUAUAUUACUUUAAAUAUAAAUUUUAUAAUUUUAUCACAUUAAAGUUGAUUUAGCUUGGAAGUGGGUGUAUUAAUUUAUUAUCGUGAGAAAAUUGGUUAUUAAAAUAAUAUUAAAAUCUGAUACUCUUAGAAACAAAAAAAUUACUUAUUUUCACUUUAGAUUUUCUUCAACUAUAUCAAAUUGAAAUAGAAAUCAAAUAGAAAAAAUAUAAAUCAUUACAUUUUCCAUUUAUUUAAUUUAAAAUUUUUAUGUUCCAAAAUAAAAACAAUGUUAGUUGUUUUUUUUCAAAUCAAAACAACAAAGUUUAAUACAUUACAAUUUGAUCUUAAAAUAAAAAGAUAUUAUAUUUAUUAGUUUCAAUAUAAAGUAAAUUUUCAAAUAUUUUAUAAAAUUAAAAUUAUUUUAAUAUAAAAUAGUUUUAGUGUAAACUCUCCCGCCCGUAGGGUGGACCAACCCCUAGUACAUGUAAUAGAGACGAAUUAAAUAAGAUGAAUGAAAUGGAAUGGAUUUCCUUUGUCAAAAUUGUUUUGGAAUGUUUUUUUUAGAAUUGAUAGAAUGAACAUUCCAUUCCAUUCAUGUUAAAUGAUAACAAAAAAUUAUGGAAUUGAUCAUUCCAAAGCAUUUCAUUCCAAAAAUAGUUAAUCCCGUUCUAAAGGCUAAUAAGCAAAAACAAAGUAUUAGUAAAUUUUGAUUUAAUUGUUUAUCCUUAUAGAUUCUAACCGAAAAAUCCAAAUAUCUAUAAUUCUAUCAACAAAGAAAUAUUAAUAUAUAAUACCAUAAGAAACAGAACAAAUCACAAAUACUAAUAGUAUUAAAAACGAAUAUCCAAUCUGAUACUUUAUAUACAUACUAAUAUUGACUCUAUGCUCCGCAUGAAAAUAUUUUUCUUGCAAAUAAAUACAUUUCAGUCACUAAUUUUUUACUACUUAAUGUAUAUUACUAUAACUAUUGAAUAUAUAUAUGACACAAAUUAUUAGCUCAUUUCAGAGAUGACUAAACCAUGGACAAAAAAAACUAACUAUGCAACGUGGAUUGAAUAUUUUUUGUCACAUGUUAAUUUGAAAUUCCAGUAAAAGAAUUAUAAAUAUAAGUGGAUAAUCCCUUAUUUUGAAGAACACAUAAUCAUAAUGAUUUUUCCAUGUUUCAGUUUACUUUAACUCGUUUCUAAUGUUAUAUAUGUGUGUAUAUAUAUAUAUAAGUAUACACACGGAAAGCAUUUACCUUCUUUAUUAAAAAAAUUAUUCUUUUGAGUUUACAAACAGUUGCAUUCAUUUGUGAUUGACAUUUGGAAUGCUUUCAAAUUAUUUUUAGAAAUUUUUACGCUAGAGACACUUUCCCACUUUCAAAUUACACUACAAGACACUUAUCACUUUCGACACACUUUCUUUUAUCAAAAAGACUUUUAUGACCCUAAACUAAAGAGAAUCUUUCUCCUUUUCUUAUUUCAUUUUAUUAUUUUUCUUAUUCUACUUUAUGUAUUUAUUUACUUUUAUCUCAAGUUCUAAAAUAUAUUAAACAAAAAUAAUUGUCAUAAUAAACUAUAUAUAAGAUUCUCUAUCUUUUAAGAUCCAUGUUCAUAUAUAUAUAUAUAUAUUAAUGUGUAAACAAAAUGUGGACGUAGACACGAGGACUGUCUAAAAUUCAUAUAACAUGAAACCAAACAAAUAGUUUUUGGUUAUCAUUGAAAAAUCUAAAAACUUAAAGCAUUUUAACCGAAUAAACAUAAUAUAUAUUGAUUUAGAAUGAUAGUUAUAUUUUAGUAGAUUAAAAAUAAAAAUAAAACUAACAUAAAACCAAACUGAUUUUGAGAUUAAACAUAUCUAAUAUCUUCUUAUCCUAAGAAAUAAAGAAAUUAAUAAUUUUGCUCCAUGCAAGCUGCGGGUUAUUACCUAGUGUUAUAUUAUAUAUAGUAUGUCCAUUAUAGACCAUUCAUUUAUCAAAUUGAAAUUAUUAUAUAUUCUUUCCAUAAAUAAAACCUACAGAGUCACCGAAUGUGAUUGAUAUAUAUGGCAAUUAAUGAUUUUAAAUAAUAAAUAUUUGAUAACAAUUUGUAUACUUGAUAUAAUUUUGUUUAAUUAUUUAUUAUUAAAAUAAAGGGAAAUACCCCAGGAUAGUACUAAAAAAAUUUAUGUCACAAAUAUAGACUCUAAGGAUCAAAUUGACCAAAAUGUUUCAUUAAA